AAUUUCCCAGACAUGCUCUUGACAAAAUUUAAGUAUAAAAUAUUUGUAGACGGCAAAUUUAACUCUAAAUAUGGAAACAAGAAUUAUGGCUCUUGAAAUAGUUACAUCCCUCCCCACAAUUAGAUCUUCCCACCUUUUAAGUUUCAAAUUGAAACCUUGUUUAAUUUACAACAUAUACUCUCGACAAAAAUUAAGUUGUUUAAAAAAAAAAAAAGGGCAACAACUCUAUUAAUACGAUAGCAAGAUGUAUGGUUCUUGGGCACUGCACAACCCCUAAAUGAGAUAUAUUUCCCUAUUGAGUUACACGUUGUUACCUCUUUUUGUUUUCAAGAUAAGCUCCAGGCAAAAUUUAAGCACCAUAUACUUGCGCUUGUAAGACGCAUUUUUAAGACUCAAAUUAAUAAGUAACAGUUGGGUCGCGUCUUAUAAGCGAGAUACUGGUAAAAAUGAACUAAAUUUUUCAAAAUAUCGAGUUUUCUGGGCUUAUGCUAGCCAAGUUGGACACUUGUCAGUUGUUUUGAAUCAUCGCGGCAGCCAUUUGCAUGUUCUCUUAAGUCUGUAUUGGCCCGUACCUUGUAUCGGAACGCUAUGUUCAGUUACCGAUUUACUUGUAAUAAAAUGGACAAAAUUGUCACAAAACCAGGUUUUCAUUGUGAAAAAAAAUCUGAUAAAGGGAGACAACUCAAACUGAACUUUUGAAAUGAACAAACAAAAUUAACCCCCUUUGUAAGUUUGUUUUAAAAUAAAUCUAUUUUUAGUCGUGGCGACCUUGACAUUGGAGAUAUUGACGUGAUUCUUUCGUGCGACACACCGUCCCAUGAUGGUGAACAAAUGUGCCAAAUGAUUUUAAAAUCUCAUAAUGAAUGACAUAGUUAUAGCCCAGACAAGCUCAUUUAUGGCUAUUUUUUACCUUUGAACUCAAAGUGUGACCUUGACCUUGGAGAUAUUGACGUAAUUUGUUCGCGCGACACACCGUCUAAUGAUGGUUAACAAAUGUGCCAAAUGAUUUUAAAAUCUCACAAUGAACGACAAAGUUAUGGCCCGGACAAGCUUGUUCCGCCAGCCCGCCAGCCAGCCCGCCAGCCAGCCAGCCCGCCCGCAUUCGCCAAUCUAAUAACCAGUUUUUUCCUUCGGAAAA